AGAGUUUGAUCCUGGCUCAGGACGAACGCUGGCGGCGUGCCUAAUACAUGCAAGUAGAACGCUGAAGAGAGGAGCUUGCUCUUCUUGGAUGAGUUGCGAACGGGUGAGUAACGCGUAGGUAACCUGCCUUGUAGCGGGGGAUAACUAUUGGAAACGAUAGCUAAUACCGCAUAACAAUGGAUGACACAUGUCAUUUAUUUGAAAGGGGCAAUUGCUCCACUACAAGAUGGACCUGCGUUGUAUUAGCUAGUAGGUGAGGUAAUGGCUCACCUAGGCGACGAUACAUAGCCGACCUGAGAGGGUGAUCGGCCACACUGGGACUGAGACACGGCCCAGACUCCUACGGGAGGCAGCAGUAGGGAAUCUUCGGCAAUGGGGGCAACCCUGACCGAGCAACGCCGCGUGAGUGAAGAAGGUUUUCGGAUCGUAAAGCUCUGUUGUAAGUCAAGAACGGGUGUGAGAGUGGAAAGUUCACACUGUGACGGUAGCUUACCAGAAAGGGACGGCUAACUACGUGCCAGCAGCCGCGGUAAUACGUAGGUCCCGAGCGUUGUCCGGAUUUAUUGGGCGUAAAGCGAGCGCAGGCGGUUUGAUAAGUCUGAAGUUAAAGGCUGUGGCUCAACCAUAGUUCGCUUUGGAAACUGUCAAACUUGAGUGCAGAAGGGGAGAGUGGAAUUCCAUGUGUAGCGGUGAAAUGCGUAGAUAUAUGGAGGAACACCGGUGGCGAAAGCGGCUCUCUGGUCUGUAACUGACGCUGAGGCUCGAAAGCGUGGGGAGCGAACAGGAUUAGAUACCCUGGUAGUCCACGCCGUAAACGAUGAGUGCUAGGUGUUGGAUCCUUUCCGGGAUUCAGUGCCGCAGCUAACGCAUUAAGCACUCCGCCUGGGGAGUACGACCGCAAGGUUGAAACUCAAAGGAAUUGACGGGGGCCCGCACAAGCGGUGGAGCAUGUGGUUUAAUUCGAAGCAACGCGAAGAACCUUACCAGGUCUUGACAUCCCGAUGCUAUUUCUAGAGAUAGAAAGUUACUUCGGUACAUCGGUGACAGGUGGUGCAUGGUUGUCGUCAGCUCGUGUCGUGAGAUGUUGGGUUAAGUCCCGCAACGAGCGCAACCCCUAUUGUUAGUUGCCAUCAUUCAGUUGGGCACUCUAGCGAGACUGCCGGUAAUAAACCGGAGGAAGGUGGGGAUGACGUCAAAUCAUCAUGCCCCUUAUGACCUGGGCUACACACGUGCUACAAUGGACAGAGCAGAGGGAAGCGAAGCCGCGAGGUGGAGCGAAACCCAUAAAACUGUUCUCAGUUCGGACUGCAGUCUGCAACUCGACUGCACGAAGAUGGAAUCGCUAGUAAUCGCGAAUCAGCAUGUCGCGGUGAAUACGUUCUCGGGCCUUGUACACACCGCCCGUCACACCAUGAGAGUCGGUAACACCCGAAGCCGGUGGCCUAACCGCAAGGAAGGAGCUGUCUAAGGUGGGACUGAUGAUUGGGGUGAAGUCGUAACAAGGUAUCCCUACGGGAACGUGGGGAUG
rnacentral:rRNA from 1 species